UACAGAGGUGGCAAGCGUUGUUCGGAUUUAUUGGGCGUAAAGGGUCCGUAGGCGGUUUGGAAAGUCAGAUGUGAAAUCCCACAGCUCAACUGUAGAACUGCAUUUGAAACUUCCAGACUAGAGUAUGAGAGGGGUAAGGGGAAUUCCCGGUGUAAGGGUGAAAUCUGCAGAGAUCGGGAGGAACACCAGUCGCGAAGGCGCCUUACUGGCUCAUUACUGACGCUCAGGGACGAAAGCGUGGGGAGCAAAAGGG
rnacentral:rRNA from 1 species